CCAGUGUUUGUGCAGGCUCCUCAAGAGAAAGGACUUGCAGCUUUUGCCACUGACUUCCUCAUGGGUGGAGUUUCUGCUGCUGUGUCAAAGACCGCUGCUGCCCCCAUUGAACGUGUUAAACUUUUGAUCCAAAAUCAAGAUGAGAUGCUCAAGGCUGGUAGGCUCUCAGAACCAUACAAGGGAAUUGGCGAUUGUUUUGGGAGGACAAUCAAGGAAGAAGGGAUUGGGUCUUUAUGGAGAGGAAACACUGCUAAUGUUAUUCGUUAUUUCCCCACUCAGGUUUACCAUCUAUCUCUCUUCAUUUUGAUGACUGAAAUUUAUGAGAUGCACGCACCUUGGCUGUUCUGUUUGUUUAAGUCAAGCAUUGACUGAGUGAUACUAUGUGUUCCACAUUCCACAGGCCUUGAACUUUGCAUUUAAGGAUUACUUUAAGAGACUCUUCAACUUCAAGAAGGACCGCGAUGGCUACUGGAAGUGGUUUGCCGGCAACCUUGCAUCUGGUGGUGCUGCUGGUGCUUCCUCAUUGCUCUUUGUCUACUCCUUGGACUAUGCUCGUACCCGUCUUGCUAAUGAUGCCAAGGCCUCAAAGAAGGGAGGUGAGAGGCAGUUCAACGGUUUGGUUGAUGUCUACAGGAAGACACUCAAAUCUGAUGGAAUUGCUGGUCUGUACCGUGGAUUCAACAUUUCAUGUGUUGGUAUCAUUGUUUACCGUGGUUUGUACUUUGGAAUGUACGACUCUUUGAAGCCUGUUCUCUUGACUGGAAACCUGCAGGUUAGUGUUUUAAUCUGUUGGUGUCUUUGUACUGCUAGUUCAACCUUUCUGUUAUUCAAUGUUUUUUGCCUUCUGUGUCAUGCCAUACUGUUAGUUGGGUGUAUCAUUUUUUGGCUAUAUAUACCAUGAAUAAAUUAAUGCAUGAAUGUUUUCUUGUUAGAGUGGACGUUUAGAACUUAUUUGGGUAGUGAUAAGAAUUCACUAUAUUUGGGUGAAGAUCUUCAAUUUCAGUGGAUAUUUUCAUGUUGUUCGAGUUGUUUGCUUGACGGGUGGAUAAAUGAUGGGAUUUUGAGGCUUAGUUAUUAUAUUACAUGGAUAGAUACUUUUUAGUAUGAAAAUUGUGGUGUGACUGACCCGUGUGUGGACUCUAUGCAUACAGGAUAGUUUCUUUGCUAGUUUUGGUCUUGGUUGGCUCAUCACCAAUGGUGCUGGUCUUGCUUCCUACCCAAUUGAUACAGUCAGAAGAAGAAUGAUGAUGACGUCUGGUGAGGCCGUUAAGUACAAGAGUUCGUUCGAUGCAUUCUCCCAGAUUGUUAAGAACGAGGGUGCCAAAUCCCUCUUCAAGGGUGCUGGUGCAAACAUCCUCCGAGCUGUUGCUGGUGCUGGUGUGUUGGCCGGAUACGACAAGCUUCAGGUCAUUGUUUUUGGAAAGAAAUACGGAUCCGGUGGUGCCUAAGCCAGCCUCUAAACAUCCUUUUUAGAAAUAGAUGGUGAUGAAAAUCUUUUUGGUGUUACGUUUGAGGAUUCAUUUGGGGAGACAAUUACCAAUUUUCCUUUGCCUUCUGUAAUAAUUUAAAAUUUUAGAGCGGGUUAAAUCUUUGAAACCC
rnacentral:lncRNA from 1 species